UGCCUGGCGGCCUUAGCGCGGUGGUCCCACCUGACCCCAUGCCGAACUCAGAAGUGAAACGCCGUAGCGCCGAUGGUAGUGUGGGGU
rnacentral:rRNA from 1 species